CCUACGGGAGGCAGCAGUGGGGAAUUGUUCGCAAUGGGCGCAAGCCUGACGACGCAACGCCGCGUGGAGGAUGAAGAUCUUCGGGUCGUAAACUCCUUUCGACCGAGAUGCAGUAUCGAGGGAAGAAGCCCCGGCUAACUCUGUGCCAGCAGCCGCGGUAAUACAGGGGGGGCAAGCGUUGUUCGGAAUUACUGGGCGUAAAGGGUUUGUAGGGGCUUCCUCAGUCAGACGUGAAAUCCCUCAGCUUAACUGGGGAACUGCGUCUGAUACUAGCGAGCUUGAGUGCAGGAGAGGAACGCGGAAUUCCAGGUGUAGCGGUGAAAUGCGUAGAUAUCUGGAGGAACACCGGUGGCGAAGGCGGCGUUCUGGACUGCACUGACACUGAAAAACGAAAGCCAGGGAGAACGGGAUUAGAUACCCUUGUAGUC
rnacentral:rRNA from 1 species